rnacentral:lncRNA from 1 species
CGUAGCUCUCCUCAGAGAGGCGACAGAGGCCAACAGCUCCCCCCUCUCUCACGCCUUCUCGCUCUCUCCUUCUCUCCUCUCUCUCCUGCUCUCUCUCUCGCUCUCUGGGCUUGCCUCGCACGGCUCUCAUUCCUUCACAGGAAAGCGCUGACACAAACUUUUGUCUGACUAAAUGUCUCCUGACCCUGUGACACAGGCUCUUUUGUUCCACGUGAGAUUAUGGAGCCGCAGAGCAGACUACAACAACGGAAACACUGUUAGACAGUGUUCUGGAGUUAUUUAGAUACUGGACACUACUGCUUGCUGCUCAGCUAUAGAGAGGAUGAAGAUGAUGAUGACUUUUGCCAGGAUGGUGCAUGGGAUCUUAGGAACAGCGUUCAUCCCUGUUGGUGGGAGUGUGUGGAGCUGCAGUAGCUGCAGACGUGUUAGACGGAGGCGGAGGCUGACACAGUCUGUCUGAAGAGAGCAACAAAGUCUCUCCUCUAUGUGGAAGGAAGUGUGUGUGGAGCCGUCAUGGUCUGCAGCCUGCAACACACCCUCCAUCUCCCUGUGACCUUCUAUUAGGGAGAAGUGCAAUGGCAGCCGUCCCUGCUCUGGCAGCCCUGCACGUCUCUAGCUAGCUACAUAAUAACUGACCCUGCACCCCGCCUUCAGCUAACUUCCUUUUACUC